CAGGCUACAUUGACUGGGCUAUAGCUCCCAUGUGUCAUUUUGCAACUCUUGUCCUGAUUUUCUAGGUAUAUGUGGGACUCUUCUAAACCUUUGUAUUCUGGGAAGGAAGAUAAACUACAGAACUGGACCAGUAAGGGAGUUGCAACUCUGCCAUGAGCAGGAUGCUGCUUGUGAAAUUAUGAAGCCACUUCUACGAGUGUGAGCUCUAGAGUCUAAGUGCCAUUGGGAGUAGGACCAAACUGGAAAACUUCUUGAGACUUGUAAGAGGAAUGGGAAGCAGUCAUAUUUUUCAAAUCCUCAGAGGCUCAGAGAAAGAAUGCAAGUUCCAACAAGGAGGAUUUUGUUCCCUAAGUCCUGACGUUUUACAGCAUCUGCAAGGCUUUGGAGAUGAACAGGGGAUUCGUGAAAAAGGAGUUUGUCUUCCGGAAGACCCAAUUUUACUGGACAUAAAAAGCUUCUUGAAAGAGCUUAAAAAACACAAUACAGUUGCUGCUUUGCAGUACUGCUGCUGGCCAUGAAGAUAAGAUGCAGGGUUGGAUAUAGGACCAACUCUUCAUUUUCCCAAUGUUGCAAAAAUGGUUACAUAUAAUAAGCAGUAAGGCAAAGAGUCAAAAAUCAUGUAAUGUUUGGCUUUAAAAUUUCAUUCAUACUUGUAUGUGAAUGAAUAUAUCACUUCUAUACUGGGAAUUCACCAAAACAAUAAAGACAAAUCAUAAUGAACUUACUAACCA
rnacentral:lncRNA from 12 species